rnacentral:rRNA from 1 species
GACGUAGGAUGCAAGCGUUGUCCGGAAUUAUUGGGCGUAAAGAGUUCGUAGGCGGUUUUGUUAAGUCUGGUGUUAAAUACGGGAGCUCAACUCCCGCAUGGCAUUGGAUACUGGCAGGCUAGAGUGCGGUAGAGGUCUCGGGAAUUCCAGGUGUAGCGGUGAAAUGCGUAGAUAUCUGGAGGAACACCGGUGGCGAAAGCGCGAGACUGGGCCGUAACUGACGCUGAGGAACGAAAGCCAGGGGAGCGAACAGGG